rnacentral:tRNA from 1 species
GUCGGGAUAGCUCAGCUGNUAGAGCAGGGU